rnacentral:rRNA from 1 species
GAUGAACGCUAGCUACAGGCUUAACACAUGCAAGUCGAGGGGCAGCAUGAACUUAGCUUGCUAAGUUUGAUGGCGACCGGCGCACGGGUGAGUAACACGUAUCCAACCUCCCGCAUACUCGGGGAUAGCCUUUCGAAAGAAAGAUUAAUACCCGAUAGUUUCAAGAGUUUGCAUGAAAACUUGAAUAAAGAUUCAUUGGUAUGCGAUGGGGAUGCGUUCCAUUAGGUAGUAGGCGGGGUAACGGCCCACCUAGCCGACGAUGGAUAGGGGUUCUGAGAGGAAGGUCCCCCACAUUGGAACUGAGACACGGUCCAAACUCCUACGGGAGGCAGCAGUGAGGAAUAUUGGUCAAUGGGCGCGAGCCUGAACCAGCCAAGUAGCGUGAAGGAUGAAGGUCCUACGGAUUGUAAACUUCUUUUAUAAGGGAAUAAAGUCACCUACGUGUAGGUGUUUGUAUGUACCUUAUGAAUAAGCAUCGGCUAACUCCGUGCCAGCAGCCGCGGUAAUACGGAGGAUGCGAGCGUUAUCCGGAUUUAUUGGGUUUAAAGGGAGCGUAGACGGGUCGUUAAGUCAGCUGUGAAAGUUUGGGGCUCAACCUUGAAAUUGCAGUUGAUACUGGCGUCCUUGAGUACGGUUGAGGCAGGCGGAAUUCGUGGUGUAGCGGUGAAAUGCUUAGAUAUCACGAAGAACCCCGAUUGCGAAGGCAGCCUGCUAAGCCGCGACUGACGUUGAGGCUCGAAAGUGUGGGUAUCAAACAGGAUUAGAUACCCUGGUAGUCC